rnacentral:rRNA from 1 species
UGGGGAAUAUUGGACAAUUGGCGAAAGCCUGAUCCAGCCAUGCCGCGUGUGUGAAGACGGUCUUCGGAUUGUAAAUCACUUUAAGUUGGGAGGAAGGGCAGUAAGCGAAUACCUUGCUGUUUUGACGUUACCGACAGAAUAAGCACCGGCUAACUCUGUGCCAGCAGCCGCGGUAAUACAGAGGGUGCAAGCGUUAUUCGGAAUUACUGGGCGUAAAGCGUGCGUAGGUGGUUCGUUAAGUUGAAUGUGAAAGCCCCAGGCUCAACCUGGGAACUGAAUCCAGAACUGGCGAGCUGGAGUAGGGCAGAGGGUGGUGGAAUUUCCUGUGUAGCGGUGAGAUGCGUGGAUAUAGGAAGGAACACCAGUGGCGAAGGAGACCACCUGGGCUCAUACUAACACUGAAGUGCGAAAGCGUGGGGAGCAAACAGG